ACUUGUGCUCUUCCAUCUGUUUGUCCUCUGUAUCACUGAUUCUGUGUUCUGCCUCAUCCAUCCUUGCCUCCGUGACCUCCAUUUGAAAUUGCAGCUCAGUCACAGCAUUUUUUAUUUCAUCCUGACUAGCUUUUACUACUUUUAUCUCCACAGAAAUGGAUUUUAAUCUAUUUUCGA